rnacentral:piRNA from 8 species
CUAAAAUUGGAACGAUACAGAGAAGA